ensembl:lincRNA Gm12596 predicted gene 12596
AGAUUCUGAUAAAGACACAGGGAGGGAGAAGUCGAACCGAAGACUUUGUUUUUUUGUCCAUUUGUUCUUCAGCCUUCCAAAGAGAAAGCUCUCGGUGAGACUGCCUCCAGAUGUCCUCACGUACACUUGGGUUGAUAAAAGCCCGACGUGUGCACCACGAAGAUGGACCAGAGCUGAGGACCAAACCCAGGCUAGGCAAGCGCUCUACCACUGAGCUACACUCCCAACCCCUUCACCUUGCCAUUCUGACCUGGAAGCAGUCAGUGUUUGGAGUUUGGAAACUCUUUUUCUUGUAGGAAAAAGUGCUCUCCCCGUGUCUUUGAAGGUGGCAGCUUGCAGAAAGGAAAUGGAAUGGAGCAACACCAUAGCAGAAGAAGCAGCUUGCUUCAGACUCUCUCAGGCUACAGGAUAGCUUCCCCAGAGAGACGAUGGAUAUGGGCCAGAGGUCAGCCAUUCACCGUGAAUUCACACAUGGAGAGAAGAGCUAGUGGCCUCGGCAGCUCUCUUCCUGAUCGGAGCCUUGGCUGUUCUUCUUCCAAACAUUCUUCCAAAUGUUCCACCUGCACCCGCUCACCUCUGUCUCACCUCUGCCGUCGUGUUCAGACUCGGCUUCACAUCUAACCCUGGCCUUGAUCCGUGAGUUCAUCUUGUCUUUCCCAGCUCCCCUCACUCU